CAAUAGCGUAUAUUAAAGUUGUUGCAGUUAAAAAGCUCGUAGUUUGAUUUCUGGACGGGCGCCAACACCCGCUUGUUAGUGUGGAGGCGGCACCCGCCCAUCCUUCUGUUAACGCCGCCGGCAUUUGUUUGCUGGUGGCGGGCUCAGAUAUUUUACCUUGAGAAAAUUAGAGUGUUUCAGGCAGGCUUGCGCCUAGAUACAUUAGCAUGGAAUAAUAGAAUAGGACUUUGACCUCUUCUGUUGGUCUGAGGGGUGAGAGUAAUGAUUAAUAGGGAUAGUUGGGGGCAUUAGUACUUAACUGCUAGAGGUGAAAUUCUCAGAUUUGUUAAAGACUAACUUAUGCGAAAGCAUUUGCCAAGGAUGUUUUCAUUAAUCAAGAACGAAAGUUAGGGGAUCAAAGAUGAUCAGAUACCAU
rnacentral:rRNA from 1 species